rnacentral:rRNA from 1 species
UACAGAGGUCUCAAGCGUUGUUCGGAUUCAUUGGGCGUAAAGGGUGCGUAGGCGGCGCGGUAAGUCGGGUGUGGAAUCUUGGAGCUUAACUCCGAAACUGCAUUCGAUACUGCCGUGCUUGAGGACUGGAGAGGAGACUGGAAUUUACGGUGUAGCGGUGAAAUGCGUAGAUAUCGUAAGGAAGACCAGUGGCGAAGGCGGGUCUCUGGACAGUUCCUGACGCUGAGGCACGAAGGCCAGGGGAGCAAACGGG